UACGGAGGGUGCAAGCGUUAUCCGGAUUCACUGGGUUUAAAGGGAGCGCAGGCGGACAUGUAAGUCAGUGGUGAAAUACCUGAGCUUAACUCGGGAACUGCCAUUGAUACUAUGUGUCUUGAAUAUUGUUGAGGUUUGCGGAAUGGGUCAUGUAGCGGUGAAAUGCAUAGAGAUCGGAAAGAACACCAACGGCGAAAGCACUCUGCUGGGCCGACACUGACACUGAGAGACGAAAGCUAGGGGAGCAAAUGGG
rnacentral:rRNA from 1 species